rnacentral:rRNA from 1 species
ACGGGUGAGUAACACGUGGGCAACCUGCCCUUGAGACUGGGAUAACUUCGGGAAACCGGAGCUAAUACCGGAUAAUAUAAGGAACCUCCUGGUUCCUUGUUGAAAGAUGGUUUCGGCUAUCACUUAAGGAUGGGCCCGCGGCGCAUUAGCUAGUUGGUGAGGUAACGGCUCACCAAGGCGACGAUGCGUAGCCGACCUGAGAGGGUGAUCGGCCACACUGGGACUGAGACACGGCCCAGACUCCUACGGGAGGCAGCAGUAGGGAAUCUUCCACAAUGGACGAAAGUCUGAUGGAGCAACGCCGCGUGAGUGAUGAAGGCCUUCGGGUCGUAAAGCUCUGUUGUUAGGGAAGAACAAGUGCGAGAGUAACUGCUCGCACCUUGACGGUACCUAACCAGAAAGCCACGGCUAACUACGUGCCAGCAGCCGCGGUAAUACGUAGGUGGCAAGCGUUAUCCGGAAUUAUUGGGCGUAAAGCGCGCGGAGGUGGUUUCUUAAGUCUGAUGUGAAAGCCCACGGCUCAACCGUGGAGGGUCAUUGGAAACUGGGGAACUUGAGUGCAGAAGAGGAAAGUGGAAUUCCAA